rnacentral:lncRNA from 1 species
GUGGUAAAAAAUCUUGGUGUUUAUUUUGAUAGAACAUUAAGCAUGGAAAAGCAGGUCAAUGGCAUCACGAAGUCGUGCUUCUUCCAAAUAAGGAAUAUUGGUCGAAUUCGGCAAUAUAUCACUGAGGAUGCCUGUAAAACUUUAGUCUGCUCGCUCGUCACGUCACGUCUAGACUACGGAAACGCUCUGCUUUAUGGAGUAAAUGCCAGCUUAGUCAAUAAGUUACAGCGAGUACAGAAUACGGCAGCCAGGCUCGUUAAACGUACAAAGAAACAUGACCAUAUAACACCAGUUCUUGUGUCUCUUCAUUGGAUCCCGGUGCAGUACCGAAUACAAUAUAAACUUAUUUUGUAUACUUUCAAAAUCCUGCAUGGCCUAGCGCCCGUCUAUCUUGAGGAACUCAUUAGCGCCUACCAACCA